rnacentral:rRNA from 1 species
UACGGAGGGGGGCUAGCGUUGUUCGGAAUUACUGGGCGUAAAGCGCACGUAGGCGGCUUUGUAAGUUAGAGGUGAAAGCCCGGGGCUCAACUCCGGAAUUGCCUUUAAGACUGCAUCGCUAGAAUUGUGGAGAGGUGAGUGGAAUUCCGAGUGUAGAGGUGAAAUUCGUAGAUAUUCGGAAGAACACCAGUGGCGAAGGCGACUCACUGGACACAUAUUGACGCUGAGGAGCGAAAGCGUGGGGAGCGAACAGG